rnacentral:rRNA from 1 species
UUGAUCUCAAAUCAGGUARGACUACCCGCUGAACUUAAGCAUAUCAAUAA